AUUGAACGCUGGCGGCAGGCCUAACACAUGCAAGUCGAACGGUAACAGGAAACAGCUUGCUGUUUCGCUGACGAGUGGCGGACGGGCGAGUAAUGUCUGGGAAACUGCCUGAUGGAGGGGGAUAACUACUGGAAACGGUAGCUAAUACCGCAUAACGUCGCAAGACCAAAGAGGGGGACCCUCGGGCCUCUUGCCAUCGGAUGUGCCCAGAUGGGGUUAGCUUGUUGGUGGGGUAACGGCUCACCAAGGCGACGAUCCCUAGCUGGUCUGAGAGGAUGACCAGCCACACUGGAACUGAGACACGGUCCAGACUCCUACGGGAGGCAGCAGUGGGGAAUAUUGCACAAUGGGCGCAAGCCUGAUGCAGCCAUGCCGCGUGUAUGAAGAAGGCCUUAGGGUUGUAAAGUACUUUCAGCGGGGAGGAAGGGAGUAAAGUUAAUACCUUUGCUCAUUGACGUUACCCGCAGAAGAAGCACCGGCUAACUCCGUG
rnacentral:rRNA from 1 species